rnacentral:tRNA from 1 species
GGCUGCGUAGCUCAGCGGUAGAGCGGAGUCUUCAUAAGGCUAUGGUCACAGGUUCGAAUCCUGUCGCAGCCA